UAUAAUCAAGAGGAGGAAGAAAUUAGAUGAAACUAGUCAUCAACUAUAUAUCCUAUGCUAACAAUUAACUUAGUUUUUAUUGCAAGCGACGCAUCACCAAUUAUUUCUAGAUUCGCAUUUAGUUGACUUUAUUUUCUAUUAUUAAUACAAAUUAUACAAUAAUUCUACUCUACUUACUAAUAAAAGACACGUCAGAUGUCACGUAACAUUAUUAGAGGGAAAAAUGCUUGGUGAAGAGAAACACGAGAGAAAAACGAGAGAAAUAAAGAAUAAAAUGGUAGAGAGAAAGUGAGUGGGUAGAGAGAGAGAGGACAAAAUUCUCUCUUCUUUCUCUCGUGCUUCUCUACACCUACCACUGCUCUUACUAGAGAUACAAACUACGGAGAGACAUAGCCUUACUUAUCAUAGGCCGUAGAGAAAGACAAGUGUUACCUUUAAAACGUCACCAACGUUGACUAUUAAGGCAUCAGGAAGGGGUUUAACAGCAAACCAUUUUCCAUCUUUCUUAAUUUGGAGACCAUCCAUCUCAUUGAUUUGGAGGAGGAUGGUGAGUAUGGAGCCAUCAGAAUGAGGCUUAAAGCCGAGAACUUACUCUGGUUGCGGACAAGGAGGAUAAUAAUUCAUCCUUAAUGAUUGCAUCCCGUUUUCAAACAGCUCUUUCAUGUCAUUGGGAUCCAUUCUUAGAGCUUUAGCCAUUAGGUCAAGGAUUUUCAAGGUAAGAUUUUUAAGUUCCGUUAAGUAAACUUCCAAGUCAUCUCCGCAUGCAAAUAAUAAUAUAUAGUCCAGUAAUUAUCAUAAGAUAGAAUAUACUAUAUAAGAAAAGUCUAAAAUUUAAGUAUAGAACCUGAAUGGAAGAGGCAACUUGGGGAACAAGUGGGGUUUCCUCAGAUGGGUUGGGAGAGUGAACAUAGUAAAGCCGUAUCCCCAAUCAAGCUUCUGCUCUUCAGACGUAAUAAAAAGCUGCCCAAAUCCCUCAACAUCUCCUGGCUGCUGCCAAAACUUCUUUUUCUCAUCAAUUGGAAGAUUAAAGAAUUCUUGAAUCUCUGCUUUCACUUUCUCCACCAAUGAACUGCUCACUCCAUGAUUCAUCAACCGCAUAUAUGCAAAUUAAAGCAAGAUGUUCUUUCCAUAUAUACAUGGUUCAUAAAGGAAAUUUUGAAGUUCUGGAAACAAAAUGAUUUUUAUGGAAAAUGCUAAAGAAACGGAGAGCUGAUAAAAUGCUGACAAAAACAACGAUAAAUUAGUCUGUUUAAUGGGUUUACAAUCAAGUGACUAAUCCGGUACUGAUUUACUUUGUUUUUUGUAAACGUUUUGUCUAAUUUUUAUUAUCUGAAUAUCACUGCUAAAUUGUUAUGUACCUGAAAGAAACCCCAGUCUUUACAUGCAUGGUUCAUAUAGGGAACUUAAAGCUCAGGAAGUAAAAUUAUUUUUAUGGAAAAUGUAAAAACACUGAGACCUGAAAAAACGCUAACAAAAGCAAUGAUUUGCAAUCAAUUAAGUAUUUUUAUUAUAUGAAUAUCACUGCUCAAUUAUUAUGUACCUGAAAGAAACCCCACUCUUUACAUGCAUGGUCAAGCUUCUCAAGCUCUGAGUCAUCCCCAGAGAGCAACGUGUGCAUGUCAAUGACUGGAAGUUGUUGUGCUGAAGAAUCGUCGUUGCGAAUCAAGGGAUGGUCUAUCUCAGGGAGAACAUAACGUGGCGGAACAGUUGUCAGUGGCAGAUUAUUUGCCAGCUCCAGAAUCGAAGGCUCCACGAGAGAAUUCCCAAUAACUGUUGCUUUUGCCUCCAUGUUAUAUAGAUUUAGAUUAACUGAUUUCUAGCUAUUACCUUUUUGUUUUCUUCUACUCUUCUGCAGACUUAGCUAGUAUGUGUUUUGACAAGAAACUCAUAUAUAAAUAGUCCUCUAGAUGUACUGUACUGUAACUGGGUGCAGUGAAAUAUUAAUUUUAUCAUGAAAAUUCGAGAGAAUUUUGACUUUUAUUAAAGGACACAAAUCAGUGCAACAUUAACACGAUAAAAUUAAUUUUAUAAUGGAAUUAUUUACACUCUACAUUUAAUUUUGAAUAUCAUUUGAUUUUUUACACUCUAAAUUUAAUUUUGAAUAUCAUUUGAUUUUUUACACUCAGUUAAUAAAUUUUAAAAAUUAAUUUUUAUUCUAUACGUUCUUUUAUAUACCAAAACAGUCUUUUAUUUAUAUAUGAUUAUUAUCUCACCCAAUUUAAUUCUUUAUCAAAGAACUUCAUUCUAAAUAAGUCUAUUAUUGUUAACAAGAUAUUUAAGUCUCUGUUUAACAAAAUAUCACUGUGAUGUCUUUAAAUGAAAUAAUAUAUAUAUAUAUUUUUUUUUAAAAGAGAAUUUUCUCUUAUCUUUACUAGAGAGUUAUAUAUUAGAAUCCAAUUCAUGUUCUUCAUUGAUAAUCUUCAAGCAAUAGUAAUAAGCAACUGAUUUGUUUUUCUUUUUCAUUUUUUUUAAUCGGAACUUACAGUUUUAUUUUUUAUUUUUUAAAACAAAAUAAUGUUACUCGUAAAUUUCUAUUUUUUUUUUUAUUCAGCUUCUAUAGUUGGUAGCUUGUUGGGUAUUUAUGAAACUUCUAAUAUUUUAUGAGGUGUAACUGUAAUUGGAUUACUGGGUUGAGCGUGUGUUAGAUGGUGUUAAGAGUAAUAAUAUUCUAUUAACUUGAAUUGACUUGUUCUUAUUAGUAAAUUAUAUUAGGGUAACUUUUGCAAUAAUAUUUUUAUUAAAAAUUAAAGUGUUGAGAAUAAAAUUUAAAGUAUAGUGUUUAAAUUUCAUUUGUCACUGUCAACGCUCCUCUAACUAAAGCUCAGAUGAGAUCAGAAUGCGAAAGGAUUGUUAUCGACUUCGUUAGUAUUCGUAUCCACUUAGUAUUCGUAUCUUUUGCAAUAACGUUCCACCCAUAAUGUUUUGUUCAUUGAACAAUAACACUAUGGCAGACCAAAAUGGUAUGUACUGUUUGUUUGCACGCAGUACUAUCACUUCAGUCAUAUCUUAAUGUCACUAUAGUGUUUAAAUAUCAUUUGUCUCUGUCAACGCUCCCCUAACUAAAGCUCAGAUAAGAUCAGAAUGCCAAAGGAUUGUUAUCGACUUGGUUAGUAUUCGUAUCCAUCUCUUCUCGCAUUUGCGUGAUUAAUUUUUGAAUUGGUACUAAUACGACUAAAUUGGCAUUUUGAAUGAUGAAACCAGGCUGGCCACACAAAAUUGUGUACCCUAAUUAUUGAAUUGAGCAUACAGUAGUAAAAUAGAUACAGACAGGCAUACAACAAUGACAAAAUGGACAACUAUCGCUAUCAAGUUCACGUCCCCAAUCUUGAAAUUACGAAAUUUUUGGGAUUUUUUUUUUGUUGAUCGGUCCUUGUCGUUGGUAGAAAUUACGAAAUUUAAGGGGCACCCUGACUUUUUAAAAUAAUUUACAUUUGUUUUUGUUUCAUCUUGACUAAGGACUCAUUUAAGAUUUACUAUUGAGACUCUAAAGUCACUUAUAAAAGUUAAAAUUUAAUUUUGAUAAUUUUUUUAAAUCAAAAUUUUAAUUUUGAUAAUUUUUUAACUCAAAAAUUUAAUUUUGAUAAUUUUUUUUUUAAAUCACCACAAAUUUUGAAUUUAAGAAUCAAUUUUAUACUUAACAUAAUUUCGCAUAUAUUGUUACACAUUUUCAUAAAACAAAAUUAUUUUUAAUUAGUUAACAAAUAAAAUUAGAAAAUUUAAGAUCGUUAUUAUUUUGAUUUUCUUUUUUUUUUCUUCGUGCACGCUCUUUACCCCAAUUCUUCUUCUUUCUAUUUUCCAUUCCAUCAAGAAUUCUGUAAUAAUGUAAAUAUUAUUGUUUCAAGAUCAACACUUAGGUUAAUAUGUGUUUUUAAAUAUUUAAUAAAAUUUAAGGUGAAUUAUAUACGCACAUUCCAAUCUAAAACAUGGAUUUAUUAAAGUUCGGAAAAGUUAUCAAGCCAUAUAGCUUAAUAGCUUUUUGGACUUCAAUAAUGUGUGAUAAUUAGUUAUAUGAGAAUCCUAUUACUCUAUUACUUCUUUCCCUCUGCCACUUGUACCAGAAUUUUCUAAUAGAGACUGCUUAUUGCACCUAAAUGACUAACUGGUGCUGACUUAAUAAUAUAUGCCCCGUUUGGAAUUGAGGUUGAAACUCAAUAAGCAACUUAUUUUGUAAUUUGUGACAAAAAUAAUGUUUGGUAAAUUUUGUAAAAGUUGCUUAUUUAAUCAUUUUCUCCAUUUUGACAACAACUUUUAAAAGUAAGUAGAGAGUUACUUUUCAUAAGCAGCUUAUUAAAUAAACUAUCAUACCUUUUUAAAGUUCCUAUUAUAGCCUUAAUAUUUUAAUUAAAAAAAUAAUUGUCUUACUUUCUCAUACACCAUAAUAUUAAACCAUUAGAUAUCACAUUACCACCACAAUCAAAUUACCGACACAACUAUUAUAUAUUCUCUCUAGUAUUAAAGUUUUGACCUAGUAAGUUUGUAUUUUUUUUUAUAUUUUACUUUUAUUUUCUAUUAUAAGAUUAAAAAACGUAUGUAUAUAAUUAUGCAAAUUAUUUUUUUUAACUUUGAACAAUUUCACAUGAAAAUUAACCAUAACUUUUAAAAUUAAUUUUAUAACCAUGGUUUUUAAUAUUCAAUCUCUCUCUCUCUCUCUCUCUCUCUCUCUCUCUCUCUCUCUCUCUCUCUCUCUCUCUAUAUAUAUAUAUAUAUAUAUAUAUAUAUAUAUAUAUAUAUAUUAUAGUUAUGGUGUUUAUUGCAUCAAGUUUAAUACGAAUGUAAUACAUACUACUUUUUUAUUUUAUCUUAGUUAUGUAUUAGUAUGAAUUUUAAUCAUAUUUUUUAUAUAACAAAUUUAUAGAGUUCUUUUUUCACUUUAUGCAAUUUUACUUGUUUUAAAGAGAAAAAGGCAUGUCUAAACAUUAUUAAAUAUACUUAAAAAAGAAGAAGAUAAUUUAAAGUUAUAUCUAUUUUCACAACAAGAAAACAGGUAAUAGAUGACGGGAAAUAACUAUUGUAAAAGGGAGUGCAUGACAGACAGUUCAUCUGUCAUCUAUUUCACUGUCAUUAAUUUAUGACAAAAUAUUUUCCAUCAUGAAUUCAUGAUAGUAUUUUACAGUUAUAUAUACGUCACACAAUAUCUUAAUGUGAAAAAUAAUUAAAUUAAAAUUUGAAUUUAUAUAUAUUUUUGCGCUAUUUUUUUAAAUUUUUGGUGGGAAAUUAAAUUAUCAUUUGUAAAUUUAUUAUUGAAUUUUGGCUCAAAAUGUUUUAUGACAAACAUUAUGAUCAUUAUUUCCCAUCAUAAAGUCAAUUUUUUUUAAAAAAAAUUCUAUUGUGAUUAUAAUUUAUUUGUGAAUUCCUGAUUACAAAUUUAAUUAACUAAUAAAAAUGAAUAUCAUCAAAAAAACUAAAAGUAAUUAAUAUUAAUUAACCUCCAUUCAAUCCAACAAAUUAAUUUCAAAACAAAUACAUCUAGUAUUCAAUGUCGUCACCACCAAUACAUAAUAAAACAUCCCAAAUAUAAAAAAAUCUAAAAUAUAAAACAAUAGUUAAAUCCCAAUUAAACUCUAAGAAAAGCAAUUCAAAUUCUAGCCAUCAAGCCAAGUUACCCAACAAAACUUCGAAAGAUUAAUGGAAAUAUUCUAACAGUAAGACUUCCAAUAGAGAUACCAUCUUCCAGCGGCAAUAGAUAAGAAAUUUUACUACAUAUUAAGUAUUUAACAUACAUUCAAUUUGAAUUUAAAAAAAAAAUCUUUUAUUAAUAGAUAACAACUUUUUUUAUGUAUAAAUAUUAUGCUAAAUUGUAAAAAUUAAUGUUACCAAAAUUAUUUUUCAUAAAUUAUAUAUCAAUUAUUUUUCUUGUAAAUAUUUAUAACAUAUAAAAACUAUUGUACUAGAAAACACUAUGAAUACAUAUCUAUUUAAGCUAGUCAUAAGUGUAAAAAUACAAACAACUUACCACUUACACUCAGAUGCCAAAAAAUAAAAACCAAACAUAUUAUUCUAUCUUAAGCAUUCAAAGCCAUUCAAACUUCAGUAACAUUCAAACCUAUUUCAAAUUUAAAAUAAAAAGACAAACCAUGACUUAAUAUGGGGCUAUUUGAAAUCUAGAUUUUACAGUAUCACUUUAUUCUAUACACUCGUUCUCUCAUUUAAUAAAUUUAAAAAAUUGAUUUUAUUGAGCACAUUCUUUUAAAUACCAAAAUAGUCCUCCAUUUAUAUCUUACGUCUCACCCAAUUUAAUUCUUUGUUGACUAAAGAACUUUUUUCUAUGUAAUUCUAUUAUUGUUAAUGAUAUUCAAAUCUCUUGAAAAAAAAAAAUGACCCUCAUCUCUUUGAAUGAAAUAAACUUCCGUCAAAAGAGAAAUGUCUCUUAAUUUUACCAGAGAGUUAUAGACUGGAGUCAAGUUUGUAUUUCCAAUUGAUAAUUUUGAAGCAGCAGCAAUAUGCAGCUGAUUUCUUAUUAUUUUUCCUUUUUCUUUUUGGGGUUUUGCAACGUACAGUUUUAUUUUUAAUUUUUUAAAUCAAAAUAAUGUUUCUCAUUUUUUCGCAUAAAUAAAAAUUGUUUUUCAAUUGCUGUUGUUGGUAGCAUGUUGGUUAUUUAUUAAACCCUUAAUAUUUUCUUUUACGAAUGAUAAAUUAGAUUUAUUGUUAAAGAAAGUUACAGGGUUUUGUAAUUGGAUUAUUGAAUUGAAUGUGCGUUCAAUGGUGUGAAGAGUAAUCAUAUUCCAUUAACUUAAAUUGAAUUGUCUUUAUUAGUAAAUGAUAUUGGAGGAGUUUUUGUAAUAAUAUUUUUAUUAAAAAUUACAGUCUUUAAAAUAAAAUUUAGGGUACAAACAACAUCACUCUAUAAUAUUAUUAUUCAAUAAAUCAUAAUUUUGCGGCACACUAAAAUGAUGCGGAUCAUUUACGCAACCUACCAUCACUUGUAUUAUAUCCUAAUGCCAUUAUAGUGUUCAAAUAUCAUUUGUCUAUCCCAAACGUUCGUUCAAUUAAAGCUAAGGUAAGCUAAGAUUUCACAGUAGAAUAGUAUUCUUAUCCAUGUAGUGUCACAUUGUGUGCUUUAUCUUUAGAUUGGUACUAAUCCCACAAAACUGGCAUUUUGAAAUAUAAAACCAGGCUGACCACACAAACUUGUGUACACAAUUUUUUGUUUUUUUUUUCAAGUGUUACGUCGUAAAAUCGUAAAUUAAAUAUAGACAAAUAUACAACAAUGACAAUGCCUGUCAAGUUCGCGUGCCCAAUCAUAGAAGUUACGAAACUAUUGGGAUAUUUCAUAGUUGAUCGGUCCGCAUCGUUGGUAGAAAUCACGAAUUUUAGAAGGGGACCGUGACUUUUUAAACUGCAUUAUAAUUUAAGUCCUUUAAAUUUAAAUUCAUUUUCGUUUUAUCCUGGUAAUUGAAUAAGGGCUCAUUUAAGAUUACUAUUUUACUCAAAAGUAAUUUUAAAAUAUUAAAAUUUAAUUUUGUUUGGUAAUUUUCUUAAAAUUAUUGAUAACUUUAAUUUUGAGAACAAAUUUUAUACUUAAAUAAUUUUAAAUAUAUUAUUACAUAAAACAAAAAUUAUCCUUAAUUAAUUAAGAAAUAAAAUAAAAAAAAUUCAAGACCACUAUUAUUUUUAUUCGUUUUUUUUUCUUUAUGCACGAUCUCUACCCCAAUUCUUCUUCUUUUGUUUUUAUAUUCCAUCAAUAAUUCUCCAAUACUGCAAAUAUCAUUGCUGCAAGAUCAACACUUAGGUGGCGUUUGUUUUUUUGUCUGAAAUCUGAAUAGAUCUGAAUUAGUCUGAAUGUCUGAAUAUGAAUAAUAUGUUUGUUUUUUUGUCUGAAUCUCAAAAAAUAAGUAUUAAGUUGUUUGUUUUUUUCAACUUAAAAAGCUGAAAAUAUGUACUUUUACAUUUGUAUCCUUAUUAAAUUUGAAUGUCAAAUAAAUAAUAUAUUAAAUACCACAAUAUUUUAACAUUUAUAAGUAAAACUAUAUUCAAGUGAAUACAUAAUUAUUUUAGAAUUUUAAUAUAUAAAAUACCAUAAAUUUCAAAUUUUAUCGUAUAUAAUAUAAGAAAGAAAAAACAGAGAUAUUUUUAUGUGGGGUAAAUAUCUAUGGGUGAGUUUUGGGAUAGACGUGAAAAAUAAAUUAUAAAACAAGGAUAUUUUUUACAUUAGCAAGUAAUUGACUUAAUUCAAAUUUCUCCAUUAAGUAAAAACCCAAAAAAAUUAGCUUAUUUUAUUAAGUCAAAAUUAUCUAAAAAGUCUCAUUAAGUUAUAAAAACAAACACAUCUAAUUAACUUAAUUAAUUAAGUUAAGUCACUUUAAGUCAUUAAGUUAAAAAACAAACGCCACCUUAGUAUAUGUUUCACGACUUUAUUUUUUAAUUUAUCAAUAUUCAAUAAAAUUUAUUCUCAGGUGCAGACGCCCGCAUUUUUAUUAAUGCGGCCACAAUUUUAAACUGUGUGAUUUAAAAAAAAAAUAGUUUGUGAAUGAACUAUAAAACUGUGAGUUUUAAAAGAUUUAAAAACUAAUUCUUUUAAACCCUGUGGUUUUAAAGUGUAUCCGCAUGGAAAUUUCAUAAGACUUGGUGCUAGACCCAAUUCUCCAUCUAAUUUUAGGUUGUAAAAUGUAGUGAAAGAUAACCUUUCCUUCAUUAAGUUUACAGUCACACGAUGUUCAAUAUCACGAUAAGUUCCAUUGCUAAAAAUCUACAGGAUCAUAAAUUGAACCUAAAAAAAAAAAAAGUUAGAGAGUAUAAUCAAGAGGAGGAAAAAAUUAGAUGAAACUAGUCAUCAACUACAUAUCCUAUGCUAACAGCUUAGUUUUUAUUGCAAGCGACGUGUCACCAAUUAUUUCUUAUUAUAGAUUUGCUGUUAGUAGACUUUAUUUUCUAUUAUUAAUACAAAUUAUACAAAGAUUCUACUCUACUUACCAAUAAAAGACAUGUUAGAUGUCACUUAACAUUACUAGAGAUAGAAACUAUGUAGAGACAUAGCGUUACUUAUAAUAGGCUAUAGAAAAUGACCAGUGUUACCUCUAAAACGUCACCAAUGUUGAAUAUAAAGGCAUCAGGAAGGGGUUUAACAGCAACCCAUUUUCCAUCUUUCUUAAUUUGGAGAUCAUCCAUCUCAUUGAUUUGGAGGAGGAUGGUGAGUACGGAGCCAUCAGAAUGAGGCUUAAAGCCAGGAACUUGCUCUGGUUGCGGACAAGGAGGAUAAUAAUUCAUCCUUAAUGAUUGCAUCCCGUUUUCAGACAACUCUAUCAUGUCAUUGGGAUCCAUUCUUAGAGCUUUAGCCAUUAGGUCAAGGAUUUUCAAGGUAAGAUUUUUAAGUUCCGUUAAGUAAACUUCCAAGUCAUCUCUGCAUGCAAAUAACGAUAUAUAGUCCAGUAAUUAUCAUAUGAUAGAAUAUACUAUGUAGCAAAACUCUACGAUUUAAAUAUAGAACCUGAAUGGGAGAGGCAACUUGGGGAACAAGUGGGGUUUCCUCAGAUGGGUUGGGAGAGUGAACAUAGUAAAGCCGUAUCCCCAAUCAAGCUUCUGCUCCUCAGACGUAAUAAAAAGCUGCCCAAAUCCCUCAAUAUCCCCUGGCUGCUGCCAAAAUUUCUUUUUCUCAUCAAUUGGAAGAUUAAAGAAGUCUUGAAUCCUUCUUUCACUUUCUCCACCAAUGAACUGCUCACUCCAUGAUUCAUCAACUGCAUAUAUGCAGAUUAAAACAAGCUGUUCUUUCCAUACAUGGUUCUUAUAGGAAACUUAAAGCUCAGGAAAUAAAAUGAUUUUUAUGGAAAAUGCUAAAAACACCGAGAGCCGAAAGAACGCUAACAAAAGCAAUGAUUCAAGUAUUUUUAUUAUCUGAAUAUCACUGCUCAAUUAUUAUGUACCUGAAAGAAACCCCAGUCUUUACAUGCAUGCUCAAGCUUCUCAAGCUCUGAGUCAUCCCCAGAGAGCAGCCUGUGCAUGUCAAUGACUGGAAGUUGUCGUGUUGAAGAAUCGUCGUUGCGAAUCAGGGGAUGGUCUAUCUCAGCGCGAACAUAACGUGGAGGAACUGUGAUCAGUGGCUGAUUAUUUGCCAGCUCCAGAAUCGAAGGCUCCACCAGAGAACUCCCAAUAACUGUUGCUUUGGUCCCCAUAUUAUAUAGAUUUAGAUUAACUGAUUUCUAGCUAUUACCUUUUUGUUUCUUUUCUCUGCUGUAGACUCAGCUGGUCUGUGUUUUAACGAGAAAUUCAUGUAUAAAUAAUCCUCAGGAUGUACUGUACUGUAAUUGUGUGCUUUAAAAUAUCAAUUUUAAUAUGAAAAUUCGAGAGAAUUUUGACUUUUAUAAGGACACUGAUUAGUGCAACAUUAAGACGAUAAAGAUAAUCUUAGAAUGAAUUAUUUGCACUCUACAUUUAAUUUUGAAUAUCAUUUGAUUUUUACACUCAUUUAAUAAAUUUUAAAAUUAAUUUUUAUUCUAUACUCUUUUAUGUAUCAAAACAGUCUUUUGUUUAUAUCUUAUUAUAUCUCACCCAAUUUAAUUCUUUAUCACAGAACUUCAUUCUAUAUAAUUCUAUUUUUGUUAAAGUGAUAUUUAAGCCUCUCUUUAACAAAAUAUCACUAUGAUACCUUUAAAUGAAAUAGUAUUUUUUUUAAAAAGAGAAUUUUCUCUUAUCUUUACUAGAGAGUUAUGUGCUAGAAUCCAAUUCAUGCUCUUAAUUGAUAAUCUUCAAGCAAUAGAAUAUGCAACUGAUUUGUUUUUAUUUUUCAUUUUUUCAAUUGGGAACUUACAGUCUUAUUUUUUAUUUUCAAAACCAAACAAUGUUACUCGUAAAUUUUUUUUAUCCAGUUUCUAGAGUUGGUAGCUUGUUGGGUAUUUAUGAAACCUUUAAUAUUUUAUGAGGUGUAACAGUAAUAGGAUUAAUAUUUUCACUUCCUUUCUUCACCCUACAAACAGCAAAGUAUGCAAUGAAUGUUUAAAGUUAACAAUCUGUAAAGUCUGGUCUAAACUUUGCUCUAAUUAAAUAUCAUAAUAAAUUAUAAAGAGAGGUUAGAUUAGAAGAUCUCCAACAGCUAGAUUCAAAGAGAUUCUUCAUUACAUUAUUUUAUAAUCAUUUUUUCGAAAAUGUCAUUCCUGUUAUAACAGAGGUAGAGAAACAAAUUGAGAGGGCCUUUCAAUUCCAUUUUCAAGGCGAAAAAUGCAAUGUUAUGUUUCGUUUCUUUUGUUAAUCUAAUCCACUUUCUAUCAAGCAUUUAUUAUUAUUUUUAUUUUUUUGGCUUUUGUUGAGUGUUUUUGUUCUACGAUGGCAAUUUGGGAGAUUAUAAUUGAGAAACAUUUUUAAUAUUUGAAAGAAACCCACGGCUGCACUGAUAAUGAACCCACAGAGAUUAUCAAAGAGUCCCUUUUCGUUUUUAAAGCAGAUUUUUAAAGUUUUAUACGGUGGAGUGUAUGAGAAGAGGAUAAAAAUUGUCAUAAGAGUAAAGUGAGGAUUAGACGGGAUAAAUUGAGUGAUAAAAAAAUUAUUUAAAAAUUUUUAGUGGGGUGUAUUGAGAAGUGGAGGAUGAUGUGGAGAAAUGAGAGUGAAAUAUCCACUAUAACUAUGCUUCAUGAGUAACGAAAUGUUAUAUUCAUUUAGUUAGGAUUCUUAAUUGGUGUACUAAUUAAUGUGUCACCAAUAUAAAUUUAUCAUUUAGAUAUGAAAUGAUAAGACUGAGUAGUUAAGUUCACUUGAACCAAUCAAAUAAUACAACAUAAUCACUUACACAUCUGUUGGUAUACAUAUUAAAUAUCUCAACGAAGUAAAAUUAUUAUUAUAGCAAAUAGAUCUUAAAUAUUAGAAGAAGCUUAUAAUGAAACUGACUCUGAGCCCACUGUCACCUAACCCGUGCAUCCCAGCUACUCUUACGCCUGUAAAUAUUACAAUACUUGGGUUGGGUUGUGCAAUAAUGAAAUUGAUUUUGAUCAAUCACCAUAAAUAGCUGAUUGUAAAUAUUGUGUAAUUAGUUUGAAGUGUGUCACAACAGAAUUAAUGUAGGUUGAUCUCAAUAAAAAUUUAAUUGUAAAUAUAUGAGUGGUGCUCUAAUUAUGAUGUAUAUAUCAAAUGAUAUAAGUAGAGGUCUGAUUGUAAUACUUUCAACGUGAUAUUUAAUUUGACUUGGUUCAACUAUAGCCUUUUCGCUUUCAAUCGAAAACAAAAUAUAAUAAACCCUAAUGUUGUGUUUACUUGCUGGAGUGGGAGUGAGGAGUGUGGAUUCCUCCCACUCCAGCGUUUACUUACUUAAAAUGGAGAGGGAUUGGGAGUCCAACUCCGUGGGCCCCACCCACUUUUGGAGUGGGGAGUGGGAGUGGGAAUCCACUCCCACCUCUCCAAUUUCUACCUUUUUUUUUUAUUUUAUGUUUUAUAAUUAAUAAAAUAAAAUAAAUAAUAUUAUAUUUAUUUAAAUAAUAAUAUUAUAUUUAACUAAAUAAUAAUUUACAUUGAUUCUAAGUUAAAAUUAUUUUAAAAUAAUAUUAUUAUAUUAAUAGAGAAUUAAUAAAUAUAAUAUUAUUAUUUAUUUUAAAAAUAAUAGUACUAUAUUUAUUUAAUAAUAAUAAUAAAUACUUUAUUCUAAGAAAAUAUUAAUUUUGUACUAAAUAAUAUUAUAUUAUUAUUUUAUAUAAUAAUAAAUUUAAUAUAAUUAUAUUAAAUAAAAUAAAAUAACAUUUCAUUUUAUAUUAAAAUUACAAUUAAUAAUUUAUUGUUCAUAAUUAAGAAUAUUAAUAAUUAUAAUAAAUUUACAAAUAUAAUAAAAUAAAUAUUAUUCAUUAAAUAUAUUUUUUAUUAGUUUUGUAAUUAAAAAUUAUAAUUCUUUAAAUAAGGAUAAAAUUGUAAUUUGAAACUAUUUACUUCCAAUCCAAGACAAAGUAAACACAUAAAUUGAAUUCUGAUCUCCAUUCCAUGCUUCCAUUCUAGUGUAAGUAAACAACCUACUCCCACUCCCACUCCACACUCCCAAUCCUAGGAUUCCCACUCCCUAGGAUUCCCAAUCCAAUCCAAAAAGUAAACGCUACCUAAAAACCGUCGUUGAUUACAAUUACAAAUUUACCCCCAUAACUGACAGUCAUUGAUUGCUUCUUUCCCAAGAAACCUUUGGAUAUAUAUUUUAUAACAAUCGGCUAUCACUUUCUUCUUCCAUGUACAAUAUCUCAGUAGGCUGCACUGAUGUUACGGUUGGGUGCUAUUUUGCACAGGAUUAAGAAAACCCAAUUUAGUCAUGCAAACUUAUUGGGAGCUUCCCGGCUGUCAACAACAACAACACGAGACCAAACAACAAGUGCUUUUUGGGGUUCAACGGAAAAGAUCUCCCCAGUCGGACUGUCGGAAGCCCGGCAGUCUGGGUGUUUGAGGAGCUCGAUGAAAUGGCUAAAAUGGGAGAAGACGUAGGCAAAGAUGACAUUGAGUUCAAUAUGGAUCUGUUGCUAAACAAAGCAUGUUACUUGGAUGCUCUCGAGGUAUUUAUUAAAUCAUCAGAUUUCAUUUUUUUUUUUUUUUCCAUUUGGGUUAUCAAUUGCAUCAGUCUUUACUUCUCUGUGUUUUAAUGAUUUUGCAUUAUGGAAUUGGAAUCAAAUGUUAUUUUAUAUAUUUUCACCUUUUAUAAACAUAACCGAAAUCAGCUGAUAUUAAAUUGGGUGCUUGGUGUAUUUUUCAAAGGAUCCUUCAAACACGACAUCAUUUCACAGCACGCACAGAUGUGUGAUUUUAGUUGUAAUAUUUUAUUGCUUUUGUUUUCUAAGACUUGCUCGUUAUCUUGGGUACCUAUAUUAAUCAAGAAAAUUGACUGGCUGGUAAAAUAGUUUUGAUGUUCUGCCAAAUUUAGCUUCCUUGAAAGCAUAAGAAAUUUGAGCUAUUAUUGAUAAUUGAUUUUUUUUUUUAAUUAUCUUGUUGCAAAACUUGUUUGGUAUUGUUUGUCAGUUUAGCAUGCUUUUGUCGUCGCAUUUUAUUUUUUGCAAUCCUUUUAUUAUAAUCUCUCUUUUCUCCAGAUACCGAUGUGGAACAAAAGAUACUUUGAACUUACAACUGGUGAUAUUGCUGUUCGACUGGUUUUGAUUUUCCAUUAUAAGGGAAUAGAAGAGCAGAAAUUUUUUUCAGUAACAUUCCAGAAAACUUAAGGGCUCUCGAGGUUUAUAUUGCUUUGCUUUAUUGCUAUGCCAAACUAGAUUCUGUGUACAAAUCAGAGUCUGUGAAGAAAGCGGAAGCCAUCAUGCAGACAUUAAGGGAUUUGGGGUUAGACAGGGAAACAAUGGCUUACGAUUGUAUGCUUAAUCUUUACUAUCAGACUGGAAAACUUGAGAAAAUUGAAGUAUGGUGCUGGAAAUUGAAGAAAAGGGUAUUGGUUACAACGAUUAUACAUUCUACAUCCGUCUGAGUGCAUAUGCAGCUGUUUCUGAUUGCAAGGGAAUUAAGAAGAUGGUGACAAUGAUGGAAUCGGAUCCCAAUUUUGUUGUAGACUUGUCAGUUUAUGCUAUUGCAGCAAGUGGGUAUGCAAGAGCUGGGCUUCUGGACAAGACUCAUGCAAUGCUAAAGAAAUGUGAGGGACUGGCAACGGGUGGACAAGACAGAUACCCACCGUAUGAUUUUCUUAUCUCAAAGUAUGCGGAAUUUGGGAAUAAAGACGAUGUUUUAAGAGUUUGGGAAUUCUGCAAAAAGAACUCGAGCGGUUGGAAGGUGGCAGGCUCCGUCAUUCCUUCUGUGCUGAAAUUUGACGACCUGGAAAUUUCUGAGACGAUUUUGGAGGAAGUGAAUUGGCCCAAGGGGAAUCCACAUUAUUGUAUCCAUGUUAUAAAUCCCUUGAUUGCUGCAUAUUGCAGAAAAGGUCUUUUAGGGAAGGCUGAAGCUAUUAUCAACAAUGCACAAUCAAGGGGGCUGAACCCUGAUGUGAGGACGUGGUAUCUUAUGGCAACGGGGUAUCUUCAGAAUGAUCAAACAGAAAAGGCAAUGGAAGCGAUGAAGAAAUCAAUUUGUGAAACUGGAAUCGGGUGGAUUCCAUCUAAGGAAUGUUUGGCCGUGUUUCUGAAAUGGUUUGAAGCUGGAAAAGAUACUGAGGAGGCAGAGCAUUUGGCAAACUUAGAAGGGGACUUUUUUGUUAGUUUGGAUCUUUCUUACGAUUUGUUGAAUUAUUUUCAACAUGGCUACGUAGACAAAAUACCCCUGGAGUUCCUGGUUUCGUCGUGGUAAAUAAUACUCCAAUCUUUUAAAUUGACUUUGGAAUUGGGAAUCUUCCCUACAAGUGUGAUUGAUUUUGUUGCCUCUGCAUACAUUUGAAAAAUCUUAAAUAUUGUGGUUUUUCGCUUCCUAUAAGUUUCGGUUGAGAUUUUUAAAAUGGUUGAACUGCUAAAAACAGCUUAAUAAUUAUUUUACAUAAGUACCACAUUGGCCCUUGGCCAUCAACAAUGCUAUCGACAAAAACGGAUUCAUAACUCUAUGUUUCCACGUCAGCGUGGUUGCAAAAGUAACGUGUAUUUUGUAGUUUGAUUAUGUCCAACUUGGGGAUAACAAAACUCAGCCAUUUGAUCGGUGGCUUUAUAUGAACGGUCAAAAUUUUGAAACCAAAUAUCUUCUUUGUGGUCGAAGGCCAGUCGAACAUCGUACGUUACUGGGAGGACGGUGAGAUAUUUUGCAUCCAACGGUCAGCAAAUACGCUCCUAGACACUUUUACUCUUAUCUGAACGGCAGAAAUUUUGAUAGAAAUAACGAAAUUUAAAGGGGGACCCUGACUUUUUUUUUUUUACGAGAGGACCUGACUUUUUAAAAUAAUUUAAAUUUAUUUUUGUUUCAUCUUGACUGAGGACUCAUUUAAGAUUACUAUUAAGACUUCAAAGUAAUUUAAGAAGUAAAAACUUAAUUUUGGUAAUUUUCUUUUUGAAAUCACUCGUGACAAAAUUUGAUUUUGAGCAUCAAAUAAAAUUUAAAUUUUAAUAUGCAUAAUUAAUUUUGGUAAUUUACUAUAUCGUUACAUAUUUUACAUAAGACCAACAUUAUCCUUAAUUAAUUAACAAAUAAAAUCAGAAAGUUUAAGAUUAUUAUCAUUUUGAUUUUUUUUCAUGCACGCUCUUUAUCCCAAUUCUUUUUCUCUCUAUUUUCCAUUCCAUCAAUAAUUCUCUAAUAGUGCAAAUAUCAUUGUUUCAAGAUAGGGUUAAUAUGUGUUUUUUAAUAUUUAAUAAAAUUUAAGGUGAAUUAUAUAUAUUCCAAUCUAGAAUCCUAGAUUUGUUAAAGUCUGGAAAUACUAUUAAGCCAUAUAGUUUAAUAGUGUAUGAUAUAAUACUAUUAAAGCAUAUAUCUUAAUAACUUUUUGGUACUUUAAUAAAGUAUAGAAUCCUGGACUAUUUGUUGAAGUAAAUUUCACUUAACAUUAUGUCUAUUUUAGUCACUUGUACUCUAACAAUAAUUUAAUAAUAAGAUUUAAUAUGUAUAAUUAAUUUUAAUACUCCCAACACUUUUAGAAAUAAAAUUUACUGAACAUUUAGUUGAUUUUGUUCACAAUUGAUUAGGUCCACUACAAAUCUAAUAGAAAUUAUUUUAAAAGCUACAACAUUACAAAACUAGUCCUAAAUUUCGUUGUUAAAUAUAUUAGUACGACAAGUCCACAAGGGCAUUUUAGUCAAACUCAAAUGAACCAUCUUCUUAUAUUAUCAAUAUGACAUGCGCUAGGAGUUUAAGCAUACCAUUCUUAGUGUUAACUACUCAAAGGGAAAUCUACAUUAAGGUAACUACUAAGUUACAUUAUAUGUAAUUUGUAGUUGACCUAAAAGUAGUGUCCUAUAACCUUAGUUGUGUGACAAGUAACAAUUGAGUCAUAAAAAUUAAAAAAAAAAAAAAAAUUUGGUCGAUAUACGUUACAUAUGAUAUAACUUAGCAAGACCCGUUAUAUAUAUUUACCGUAUAUUUACGCAACGGAAUAUUUUUUUAGGUGAUCGAUGUUUGUUGAUAUACAUUGUCAAUGCGGCUUCAUCUUUGGAUUCUUCUUGGAGAACUAAAGCCUGAGAGAAUCCCUAGCUGAAAAUAACAAGAGAAGAUCCGCAAAUAAGGGAGAGAGUUUUAGCCAAGAUUGCGGACUCAGUUGAUGAUAAUGAUGAUCUUUAUGAGAAAUUAAAAGUUGAGGCUUAAUGGCUUAUUGAUAAUUUGAUAUCUUUUAUAGGUUAAUAUGAUGUUUCUAGCUAUGCAAGCAUUUGUAUGAAGUUGGAUUUUUAUAUUCAUAUACUUUGAUACGAUAUUUAGUUAAUUGGUACUUCUUUAAUAAUGUAAAUUUUACUUUACCUUAUUCAGUUUUCAUAUACUUUAAGAUGAUAUUUAGUUAAGGGAGAUUAUCAAUUUCCCCACUACUGUAAUUAAUAUAUACAAUUUAUUUCCCUGUUGUAUUUAUAAUAACUAGUAACUCCCAUAACAACAUAAGUUUACAAUAUUACGUCUAUUUUAAAAUAUACUUUUAUUUAUAUUUAUUAUAAAUUAAAUAAAUGAUAUGAAUAGAAAAUAAAUAAAAAAAUUAAAUAUUAAAAACAAGAAAUAUAUGCUUUGAUGUGAACAAAAAAAUUAAUAAUAAAAUUUUUUCUUGUACUUUUUUAUUUUGUAAAUAUUUUCUUAUAAUAAAUAUUUUAUAAUAUUUUAAAAUUAAAUAUAAAAAAGUAUCGGAAAAUAUUUUAUUAUUUAUUUUAUAAUAAUAAUUUAUUAAUUAUUCAAGUUUUCUUAUAACAAUUUUUUUUAUCAUUUUAUAAUAAUUUUCUUAUAUAUUUAUUAUAAGAAAAUGUUUAUAAAAUAAAAAAAAAGUAUAAGAAAAAUAUUUUAUUAUUAAUUUUUUUCACAUGAAAACAUAUAUUUCUUAUUUUUUAAACUUAAUUUUUUUAUUUUAAUUUCCAUUCACAUGAUUUAUUUAAUCUAUAAUAAAUAUGAAUAAAAGUGUAUUUAAAAACAAGGGUAAUAUUGUAAACUUAUAUUGUUGAGGGAUUAUUGGCUAUUAUAAAAAUAUGAGGGCGCAAAUCAUAAAUAUUAAUUACAGUAGGGGAGGAAUUGACAAUCUUCCUUUAGUUAAUUAAGGGGUGGGGAUAUUUCCACCCAAUUAUUUGCCUAAACCCCCUUCACUUCUACAAAAUAUUUGCAAUAAAUACACAUUUUUUUUCUAAUAAAUACAAAUCAACAAAAAAAUAUAUAUAAUUAAUCAAUUAAAUCAUUCUUAUAUUUUUUUACUUAGUUUUUUAAAACUAUUAAAGUAAGUAAAAAAAUAUAAUAUAAGUUCCAUUUAAUUAUUUUGCUUUAUGACAUAAAAUGACCCACUUGUCCAAAAAAAUAUGUGUUCUUGUAUCUAAUACUUUAGGUACUUAGUUUUUUGACUUUUAAUCUAACUUCUUGUUAGAGUGCAAUUUAUGCACUAGUUUUGCAUUGUUUACUUCCUUUAAUAUCGAUGUUUUGCACUUAAUAAUAGUGAUUUACUUGUAUUUUAUUUUUGUAGGUGCAAUUAUAUUGAUUGGUGCUAAAAUUGAGCUACAAGAUGAUGUUUGGGGAUGAUUGUUUUCCUGGAGAAAUUAUGAGCUUCAGAAGAACUUUGUUGAUAAGGUGUGGGGGUGUGCUGUCAACUACGGACCUGCAGUUUUUAGUUUAACGUGUUUUGUCUUUUUGGUUAAUUUUGUACUUUUGAAUUUAAUAUUUAGAUAAUAUUUUAGAUGUUAGUAUUUUAUUUUUAGAAAAACUCUAUAAGAGGAAGGAGACGUGAAAAACAAGAGAGGAGGGGACUUUGGAAAGAGGAAGAAGAAAGAAACCCUAGAUCUAAAUUUUUCUCUUCUCUCUAUGAAGAACUAAACCUAUUAUUCUGGUUGAAGGUUAAUGAAGCUUUGAUUCAUCAUUAUUGUGAGAUCUUUCUUAUGCUUUAAUUGUUUUAUUACUUUUUGGGUAUUUGUUUAUUCUCAAAAUUAUUGUCAUGAUUAUGUUUGUUAAUUAGAUAAUAUGCCACUAUUUAAUUAUCAACUUAAUAUAUUGUCAAUUAUAGGAUUCAUCGUAUGAAGAUUUCAAUGUUUGUGACAAAUAACAUAGCAGUGCGUUGUGUUAUGAGAAUAAACAAUCUAAUUUAAAUGAACCAUCGUAUGCGUUUGUUGAUUAGGAUUUGGGUCUCUCUGGUUUUUCAGGCUGUAAAUUGAUUAAAUCCUAUGAUCGUAUCUAGGGUUAUCUAUUGAUUAGGGAAAUAACCAAUGGUCGUACCUUGGUUAUCGACUAGUUAAGGAGAGAUUGGCUAUUAGAGGGUCUCAGUAGCUACAACCGGUCUAUUCAUAAGUAGUAAUGAUUUAUAUUUGAAUCAAUGAUCAGUAGUCGAAUCAAGCUGAGUUAAUUCCUUCAACCAGAGCUUUUCCCAAUUUGAAUUACAAUUUUAAUUUGCAUUCUUGUUAUUUUUAUUUGAUUUUUAUUAUUGUCAACAAUCCCCCCAUUUUGCAAUUUACAUUUUAAAAAGGAUUUAAAUAAUUACCGAUCUCUGUGGACACGACUCUUCUCAAUCCCUAUACACAAUUUAUUUAGAGUAGGUAUUUAUUUUUACUAGCUUCGACAACCAUCACUUCUUAAAUGACGUCUAAUAAUUUUCAAUAUUUUACAUGUAAAUGACAUAAAUUUGACAGGCUAAUAAUUUAAUGAGAAUUUUCUCAUAAGAACAUUAUGUUAGUUUAAUUAAAAAUUAAUAAUCAUAUUAAUAAAGUAAAAUUAACUAUUUAGAAACAAUGAAUUUUGUAUGAAAUUAAGAAAUUGUUGAAGCUAAAUUAAAUUUUUGGUAUUUUUACCCUUUAAGCGUAAAAUAGUCAAUUUAAAUUUAGGUUAAAGCAGUCUUAUUAGUCAAAUAUAAUAAAAAAAUCUAAGUCACAACAAAAUAAAUUUAAAUAGAUUUAAUUAAUUAAUUCUUCUGAAUUCUUUUUUAUUUGAAAUUUUUAAAAAUAAUGAGAAUUUUUUGUAAUUAUUUUUUAAAAGUGGGGUGGAUUUGCAGAAUUUGUGGGGUGGAAAUAUCACCACCCUUAAUUAAAUACUUCUUUAAUAAUAUAAAUUUCACUUUACCUCAUUCAAUUUUGUUCUCCUAAAGAUAGGUUUUUAUUCUCAUAUUUGAAGUAAAAAUUUAAUUUUUCGAGAAACCUCGAUAGAGAGGGCAAUUUUUUCGGAUAUAAAAGAAACAGUUGCAUCAAUUCAGGAGAGCACAUAGUGAGGCUUACCUCUUCAAAACUGAAAUAAUCUCUAACUUGAAAGACCAUCUAACUUCUUUGGAAGGAUGUUUGUACCUUUGAAGGCACCACAUGCCAUCCAGUAAACCUGGAGUACUCAUGAUCAAGAUUUGCUGGAUGAUCCAUAACACCCUUUUGUUAUCUAAAAGUACAACAGAAAAGGAAAUUCAUUGCCUUUAGAAAGAUGGCGACAAUUAAGCCAUCUAUUUCGAAUACCAUUUUAUUAAUGAAGAUAUUAUGAAUAUCUUGAUAAUAGUAUAAAGUUCAAAUCGCUCAAAACGGUUUAAACCGGUAGAGUGGGGCUCGUUAAAGCUAUUUUCCGCAGUCCUUUGCUCUAUAGCAUCUAGAUUUAUUUAUGGCCUAAAUCUUUGAUCAAACAGCUUCAUACCUGGUCUCGGAAAUUCAUUUCUUGUGAUUACAGUUCUCGGAAGAUAGCGUUAGUUCAUUGCGAUCAGUUUUGUUUGUUAAAGGCAGUGGGUGGUCUUGGACUUCGUCGUCUAGAUAUUUUAAAUAGAUCAUGCAUGCCUGUAAAAGAUUUUAUGCAAUGUUAAAAAUCAUUCUUCUAUGUAUGCUGACUAUCUUAAAGCUUGUUACAAACUUAUUAUACACCAAUCGGUUUUUUGUUAAUUCCUCUUAAUAGGCUGGUCUCUUAAAGUGUUAUUGCUGAUGGCUUCUUUAUUCAUUUUUUGGAUUGACAGAUGGUUGUCGGAUCCUCUUCCUCCUAUUAGUUAAAGCUUGUUACAAACUUAUUAUACAGCCAAUCGGUUUUUUGUUAAUUCCUCUUAAUAGGCUGGUCUCUUAAAGUGUUGUUGCUGAUGGCUUCUUUAUUCAUUUUUUGGAUUGACAGAUGGUUGUCGGAUCCUCUUCCUCCUAUUAGUUAUUUUAUUGACCUUGCUUUGUCUUGUACUAAAGUCUCCAGAUUAAUGAUUUAUGGGAGUUUAUUUUUCAAUAUCAGAUUAAUUAGUCCUCAACUUUAUAAUAUUUGGGUCACCACCAGUUAUUACCUGCUUUAUUUGAUUUGGAAAGACAGAAAUAAGCUGAGAUUUGAGAAUGUCUAUCCUUCUGUAGAUCGUUUUACGGCCAAAUGUUCUGCCCGUAUUAUUAUUUUGCUAAACUUUGCCCAGGUUAUGUUGGUUAUGCCAUAUUAUUAUUCUGCCAAACUUUAUCGAGGCUGUUGAAAGUCAAAUAAUCGCUCGCCAAUUUCAAAAAGCAAAAUCGGCGGCAUGUUUUUGUUGACAUAUGCAUGGAGAAAAAUGUGGUGGUUUUUCUAGAUGCCGCUUGAAUUUGUCAAAAUUGUUGAUUUUGGUUGCCGUUUUUCAAAGCUUUUGGGGACAAAGGAAUUAAAUGCAUGCAUGAUCUUUGGCUAUAAAUACCAAGCCAUUUGUUCAUUUGAAGGCAUCCACAUUUUGAGAGCAAUUGCAAGUAAAUCAAUUUGAGAGAUUUGAGAGAUUUGAGAGAGCUAUUACUUAAGUGUUCUAGUGAGGAUCCAAAUGGGUGUAUUGAGGUUUCCGGCUUCGAGAGCUUUUUUCUCAAUUUUGUAAAUUCCCAUUUAUUACUGAAAUUAGCUUUAAUCUUUGCCCGUGAAUGUAGAUUUUAUGCCGAACCACAUAAAUUAUUGUAUUUAAUUUAUUUUUUUGCAUUUUCUUAUUACCAUAUUUAUAUUUCUGCAGAAGUCACAGUCACCAUAAUAUUGAUAAUUGCUCAACCCGCGCUUCCGCAAAAAUUGGUAUUAGAGCCAAAGGUUCAUACUUGGGGUAUACUACACUGUUCACGUAAAUAGUAUUAUUUGUAGAUAUGGUACUAUUCACGCAUACGAUGGAGACGACGAUUUGUACUUGGGAGACAGUCUAUUUAUGAAUAGCUACUGACGGCAUUGGUCAUUUAGGUUAAGAAAGAUGAUAGAGACAUCAUUGUUGUCUUCAUCAGCGAUGACUACUGUGACUAAUGCAAAGUUUGAAGUGGACAAAUUCAAUAGUACUAAUAAUUUUGGUAUGCAGCAAUAUGAGGUGAUGGAUCUCUUAUGUUAGAAAGAGUUGGAGCUUACUCUUAAAGAAAAGACUGAGAAGAUAAAUCACAAGGAGUGGACAAAAAUCAAUAGAUAGUGGACAAAAAUCAAUAGAUAGGUAUGUGGUACUAUUCACUUAUGUCUAGUUAAAGAUCAUAAAUACUUUGUCAUGAGUGAGACAUCAGUAAAGAAAUUGUGGGAAAACAUUGGAAGAAAAAUAUAUAAAGAAAAGCCAUGAAAACAUGCUUUAUAUGAAGAAAAAACUCUCAAAACCAAAAACCUAAUACACCGAAUUGGAUCCUCACUUGAACAUUCAAGUAUAAACUCUCUCAAAUGUCUAAUAUUGCUUCACUUGUAGUUUAUCUCAAAAUGUGGAUGCCUUCAAAUGAACAAAUGUUUGUCAAAAUGGUCUUUAGCGAUAAAUACCAAGCCAUUUGGUCAUUUGAAGGCAUUCACAUUUUGAGAGCAAUUGCAAGUAAAGUAAUUUGAGAGAUUUGAAAGAGUUUCAACCUACGUGUUCUAGUCAAGAUCUAAUUGGGUGUAUUGGGAUUUUGAGUUUUGAGAUUUUUUUUUUCUAAUUUUGUUAAUUCGCAUUUAUUAGCUCAUGAAAUUAUCUUCUAGUCUUUGCUCUUGGACGUAGGCUUUACGUCAAAACAAGUAAAUUAUUGUGUUCAAAUUUUUCUUUUUAUUUGUUUAUUACCACAUUUAUAUUUAUAUAAAAGUUGCAAUCACCGUAAUGUUGAUAAUUGCUAAACCUGCACUUCCCUAACAGAGGUUAUGAUAGUUAUGGGUGGAACAUGAACAAAUUUUUGCUUAGUACAAGAUUAGAUCAUGAGAAAAUCUUAUAUAGGACAUACAUAUCCUCAAGUUCCUUAGCAUCCCAUCUUAUAUAGGACAUAGAUAAGAUCAUGAGAAAAUCUUAUAUAAGAAAAAUGUUAAACAAACUGAACGUUCACAGAAGAAUCACAGAUUUAAUUAACAAAGUAAUCCUGCACAGUUUUAUAGUUAAUUUGGUCAUCAUUUAAUAUCAGUGCUCUGAAGGGAAUUAAGAAAACACUAAGUUAAAGUAGAAAACAAAGGCAGUAGAAAGUGAUGAGUGCUACAUCCAAAACGUCACCAACGAUUAUGAUAAAAGCAUCAGGGAGGAGUUUAACGAGAACCCAAUUUCCAUCUUUCUUUAUUUGGAGGCCAUCCAUCUCAUUGAUUUGGAGGAGGAUGGUGAGUGCAGAGGCAUCAGAAUGAGAAUUCAAGCCAAUAACUUGCUCUGGUUGUUGACAAGGAGGGUCAUAAUUCAUCCUUAUUGAUUGCACACCAUUUCAAACAACUCUUUCAUCUCAUUGGGAUCCAUUCUUAGAGCUUUUUCCAUUUGGUCAAGCAUUUUCAGGGUAAGAUUUUUCACUUCCGUUAAGUAAACUUCCAAGGUAUCUCUAGCAAUGCAGCACUAUUGUAGUAUUGUUAGAUGGACGAAACGUUGCAUCAAUAAUUGGUGUGUUGUGUGGCUAAAAAUGAAAAAAGAAAAAUUGAGAGGCAGAGAAAACCUGAAUGGGAGAGGCAAUUUGGGGAACAGGUGGGGUCUUCUCGAAUGAAUUGGGAGAGUGAAUAUGGUAAAGCCGUAUCCCCAAUCAAGUUUCUGCUCCUCAGAAGCAAUGAAGAGCUGCCCAAAUCCCUCAAUAUCACCAGGUCGAUGCCAGUACUUGUUCUUUUCCUCAAUUGGAAGAUCAAAGAAGUCUUGGGUCUCAGCUUUCAUUUUCUCCACCAGUGAACUGCUCACUCCAUGAUUCACCAGCUACAUGCAAAUUAUUCAAAGCACGAUGUUGUUGUCAUAUAUGUUCCACAGAAAUUAAUUUGAAGUCAGAAAAACAUGAAGAAAUACUCAUUUAAUUCCCAUAAUUUGAGCUAAUCAUCUAGUCAGUCGAUUUCCUUUCAAAACAACAAUAAUAUGUUCACAAAAAAUAGUAUAAAAAUGGUACGUCAUACUAGAAAACCAAAAAAAAAAAAAAAUAACUAUAGGAUGAAAAAAAUUAUUACAAGACAAGAAAUUUUUUUUUAAUCUUUUGUAGUUUUUAUACUAAUUUUUGUAUUAUUUUCGAUACAUAUUUCAUUAUUUUUUCAAAAAGAUUACUUAAAACAUAUUUUUGUAGCGAUUGGAUCCGAUUUUUUAAGGAUAAAAUAAUAUUUACAUAAUUUCAAAUAAUUAAAAUUCAAAUUAAUUCAACAUUUAGGAGGUGAAAAAAAAUGAUAAUUAAAUUGAUAUCAAUGAAUCAACAAAAAUACAAUAGAGGACGUUUUAGAUGAUUUUUUUUUUUUUUUUUUGUGUUGGGGAAAAUACAAGCACUACUUGGAUAAUUUGCUAAAAUUAUGGAAAAUGACAAUAAUUAACAAAGAAGAGUACGUAUACAUGAAAGAAACCCUAUUCUUUGCAUGCAAGGUCAAGCUUCUCAAGCUCUGAAUCAUCUCUAGAGAGCAAUUUCUGCAGGUCGAUGACUGUUAGGAAAUUAGUGGGUGAAGCUGACACGCAGCUAAAAUAAAAUUGGAAGAAACUAAAGAACAAGCACAAUAGAGGACACCAGAAAUUACGUGGUUCGGUUUUUAGCCUAUGUCCACUGGCGAAAACAGAAGGAAAAUAUUUUACUAGUAAAAAAGAGUUACACGUAUUGUGGUAUUUUGUCUCACUACCCAAAACCCGAAUACACCCAAAACUCUCAAAUCACAAAUCACUCAAGAGUUUGUUAAAACUCUUAAAAUACUCUCACUUUCUCUCUAAAGAAGAAGAAAUAAAAUGGAAAAUUUGGAUGCUCUAAGCCGAUGGGGAGCUCCCCCUUUUAUAGCCAAAAUUGGCUAUUAAAAUAAUAAUAUUUUUUUCUUUUCUUCCAUUUUGAUGUGCCAACCACCAUUUGCAGCAUUUUCUUCAUUCUUCUUUCUUCUUUGUCAAAAUUUCCCUUUUUUUUCCUUUCCUUGGGCGGCAUCUACUUGGACUUCAAUUUGGGUGGUCAUUUUGAAAAAUGUUAAUGGUGCCAAACCGCCCAACCAUGACUUUGACAUUCUCCCACUUGGAGAUUAAAUUGAGAAUCAAUCAAUCUCUACACUAUUCUUUCUACUUCGCCAUAAUCAUGUUACCUACGUUUCUGCUAGGCCACAAGAGGAUCUAAUCCAGACAAACUUAUCAGUAUUUAUUGGCUUGGUCAAAACAUCUGCUAGAUUCUCCUUCAUAUGGAUUUUUUGUAAAUCCACACUUCCGUCUUCCACUACUUCUCGAACGAAGUGAUACUGAACUCCUAUGUGUUUUGUCCUGGAAUGAAAGGCUAGAUUCCUUGCAAUGUGCAAGACACUCUGACUAUCACAAAACACAGAAAUUUUCUCUUGUUUGUGCCCGAGUUCCUCCAAUAACCUUUGUAUCCAGAUAGCUUCCUUGCAAGCUUGUGUAGCCGCCAUGUACUCUGCUUCUGUUGUAGAUAAUUCCUUAACUCUUUGCAGUUUUGAAACCCAGCUUACAGCUCCUCCCGUAAGUGUUGUUGUGCAAAUUUUAAUGUACUCGCAAGUGCACGAAUCUAUUGUAGUAUAGAUCAAUGGUGACGAGUGUCGAUCCCACGAGGAGGUGGAUUUUAAUUGUGUAUAGAAUUAAUUUUGUAAAUGGGGGAUUGAAUUUGUGGUGGAAAUGAUUUGGAAUAUGCUAAAACUUAAAUUAAAAUGGCGAGAAUAAAUUCUAAAAUUGGAAUUGAAAUGGCGAGAAUAAAUUGAAGAGAAUUCUAUUGAAAUGGUGUACUUGAGUAUCUGGAUCCGUAUCAACAUGCAUCAUGGGCUAAAUAUUCCUUAUUAAUACCAAUUAAAUCAUGAGGGGGGAAUCCACACCUCAUGAACCACGCUCUAAUCAAUAUGGUGCUAAGGGCUUAUCGUGCCAAAUAAUAAUAACCUUAUACUAGAGAGCCGGUGUAACCAAGGCGGUAUCUAGACAAGAUCAGUAUUAUUUGUCGACGAUAAGUCAAAUCAUCCACAAAAAUUAGAGGGGAAGAGAAAGUAAAUUUACCAAAUCAAGCCCAUGACACAUGUUGAGACUUCACCUUCAACCCAAGUUUGAAAGAAAAUUAGCCACUCAUAAUUGAACUAGGGGCAAAAUGGAAAUUUAUUAAAAUACGAAGAAAAUACAAGAUGGAGAGGGAAUUACAGAAAAUGGAUCCCAAAAAUGGAUUCAAAGAUAUCAAAUUAGGGGGGGGAGGCCCCCUUUUUAUAGAUACAUGGAGUAAAUCAUGGCCAUCGGAUUAAAAACAGUUUGGACGCUCAGGAUUGCGCCACGUCAUCAGUCAACAGUCCACGGUUUGACCACGUGGAUGAACAGUAACACGGUUUGACCCGGAUGAACAGUACGCGGUUUGGUUGAAAAUAAUCCUGUGUGAUGCAUGCACCGUACGCGAGAUUUUUCGUCCACUGAUAUGCUGCCACGUCACCAUCAACAGUACAUAAGAAUUUUAGUCCAACAGGAUCGUGACACCUCAUCAGUCAAUGCCACAUCAUCGGUCCGUCUAUGUGAACAGUGUCGUGAACAGUAACGUAGACAGUACCGUAUACGUGAAUAGUACCGUACAUGUGAAUAGUGCCAUUUUUCCUUUUAUGCUCCUCCUAAGGUUUUCGACCAUCCUGAGUUCAAAAGUGAUGUCCGUUUUGCCGUCUGAUCUCUCCUUUAUUGUGAAAUGACUAUACUGCCCCUAAAAUACAUAAAAUACUUAAUUAAAAUAACACACACGUAAUUACAUCAUAAGAAGGUUAAAUACAUAAAAGUAAGGGUUGUUAGUAAGACUUGAAAUGUAAAAUGACGGUUUUCUCCUUUAUAAAUAUGCAUUUUCUGACACUCAACACACCCUCCAACCAGCUUAUUGCUAGUCCCUAGCAAAUAAAGCGAAAACAAAAUUCAAAUUCAAUUUUUUUUUUUUUUUUUUUUUUUUUAGAAACACUCGUGUUUAUUCAAUCAGAUUAAUGAUAGCAAUCAAAUAAAAGUAUAAGCAUUAUCUCUAGUCUAAAGCAAUAUCACACCCACAUCAACCAUCCACAUGAAUUGGCCCAGUAGACUUUGUUAUAGCUACUUUCAAGAAUGACAUGUCAAACCCCAAAAUCUCACUGGAAGUAGUGACACUCUCAUAAUGAAUGGUAAUUGAGAGAAAAUAAUGAAAAAGUGAUAUCACAUGCUCUCACCAAGAUGAAAUAAAUAUGCCCUCAGCUUAGAAAUAAUACAAUCUCAAGUCAAAUAAAAAAAAUGUUAGUCAACCCAAUUUAUUUAUUUAUUUUUUUUAUAUGCACCACUACAUCUUUUUAGCCCAUAUAACUAGCUUCUACUUCAAACUAUAGUUCCCUAAAAUCAAGAAGGACUUUUAUUAGGACGUAACGUAGGCUAGGGAUAUGACUAACAAAGAAAGGAAAUAAGGAAAACAAAGUGUAUAUUUGAGAAAAAUGCAGAAAUAUUUUUUCUUUUUUUUGAAGUUGCAAGGUGGAUUUCACCUAUUAUUGUUAUUUUAUUAUUUUGAAACAACAACUUUUGUUUUUUUUUUGUUUUGUUUUGUUUUUUUUGUUUUUUUUUGUUUUUUUUGCUUUUAUUUGGCAUAACUUCACUGAACAACAUAAUUAUUUACAUUUUCUCAAACAUAAAUAGGUGAUGGAACUUAUAAGACAUCGGGUAAUACUCCAAAUCAGAGUGGGUCAAGAUGAUAAGUUGACAAAGAAAAUAUAUAUAUUUUUUUUAAAGGCUCAAAAGGGGUAACUAUGGAUAUUUAAUAACGGGGAUGGCUAGAAAGGCUCAAACGGAUCAAAGAUGGCCUUUCCAUCGUUUUUUAGGGCUCUAAAUAAUUAUCCAUAUCUACUAGUUAGAUGGGCCUCCCAAUGUAGCAACGCACAUUUUUUUCUUUUUUUUUUUCUUUUUUUUUUUAAUUUUACCAUUUUUUUUUUAUAGGGUUAACUCAAAAGAAAUCUAGAGAUCGUGUAUAAAAUAAUAAACUGCUAAGCUGUAUAGAAAAUGGGCAAAAGGGUUACUCUCCAAGAAAAUGAUAGGCUCAACAACUCACUUGGCACUUAUUUAUGACAUGUUCGAAUUCAAGCAACUCAUAUUUGUCUCCGACAUCAACAUGUAAAGUAGCAAACAUAGCGUAACAUCACUUAAGACCAAAGAUAAUACAAAUACUAAAAUUUGAAAUUAAUCAUGUUAUCCAAUGUUAAAACAAAAAACACAAUUUUUUUUUUUUUUUACACAACAUUCUACCCCCCAACCUAUUCUAAACAUGAAAGGAAAAUAUGCAUGCAGAAAUGUGAAAAUGAUGUAGAAAAAUUAAUUAGAAAAAUAAAUUUUUUGUUUUUUAACUAAGAAGAUGCGUUUCUAGAGGCACUACACUCCAUAUUCAGCCAUCUUCGACUCAAAAAUUUGAAAAUAUAUAUUUAUAAAGGAGAAAGAGGAAGAAAACGAUUUUGUUUUUGUUUUUUUUUUUUAAACGAUGAAGAUGCGUUUCUAGAGUAACUACACUCCAUAUUCAGCCAUCUUCAACAUAAAACGUUAGCAACAGUUAGUUUCUACAACAAAAAAUCAGUAAAAACUUAACCAAGAUUCCACAAUUGUCGACUAUUCCCUCCCCCAACCAGAACGAAACAUUGUCCUCAAUGUUUUAAAGGAAAGAAGUAGAGUUUAGAAGACAUCACCUGGGUGGUGCAACACAGAAGAAUAUAUUUACAGGCGGAGAGUUAAAUCUAAUUUGUACUUCUUACUGCGGCUACUGUUACCAUCAUUAUUUGGGCGCUCCAACACAAAGGUCCAGGGGUCUGGCUCCGGUUUAUAAGCUUGUAACAGAUCAAGUAGCUCAUUAGCAGUGUGAGCACAAAUAAAAAGUUUUUUUUACAUUAGAAGGAAUGAAAUAGUUUUUUAUUGCAUGGUUAAGAAAUGCGAUAAAGCCAUCAUAAAAGUUAUUGACAUUUAACAAACCGAUAGGUUUCUGGUGGAUGUGCAGAUGGGCCCAAGAUCCUAGUGUCAUAAGUGCCUCUAGUGUUGCAAGAUCUCCUGGAAGGAAAAUAAAAGCAUCAGCAUGAUUAAGCAUUUCAGUUAUUCUUUCUUGCAUACUUGAGACGACUAACUCUUCUCCAGUUGAUGAGUCAGACGAACUGCCCAAUGGUUUUAGGACUCUUGGGAUGAUGCCUAACACUUGACUUCCUCUGAUAAAAGCUGCUUCUGAGACCAUUUUUGAUAACCCUCGGUUACCUCCUCCAUACACCAAAUGUAAUUUUCUCGCUGCUAUGCUUCGACCAAGAUCUAUGGCUGCCUCAACGAACUCUUUAUGUUUGCCAUAUGUAAAUCCAGAAAGCACACAAAUGUUCUUGAAUUGUCUAUUGGGAGUAGCUGCCAUUGUGAUACUUCUCAAAAACAAUUUGUGAGUGCUUGACAAAAGAUAAAUCACAUUUAAGAAUCUUGGUGACAAUGGAUCACUGCUGUGAAUGAGGUAACAUAUCAGUGUCAAAUAACGCGUAAAGCACGUGGCUCGCGAGUCAAAAAGGAAACAGUAAAAAGGACAAAGCAAACAGUAAUAAAAUUAUUAAAGACAAUAAUGCAAACAAUAAAACAACAGUGAAAUGAAAUAAAAUAACAGUAAAGUAAAAGGAUAUUUACACGUAGUUGCGACUGUGGCUCACAUCUUCCUCUGGUUUUACGUCCAGAAACGGCUUGAACGCCCUCUAUGGGUCGAGGAUCGGCUUCCCAUCCAGUUUUCUUAUAAACUGACAAACAUGGUCGUUUAUAGUCAGAUUCCCGAGACUAUAUCGUGCAUGCUCUUUCUGGAAUAAUGGCUCAACACUCAACACAUAUCCACUGGGAUGCGUUUCAAGAGACAAAAGGAUAUCAUCCAAUUUGCACAUUUAACACUCAACACUCAACACAUAUCUUCCCUGUUAUCAGACACCAUUCCUAAAGAACAUGGGUUUCUAUCGCAACUCAUUCUAGCACACUUAUGACAAGCAAUAGAAAUUCUUCGAGCUCGUCGUUUUCUUGCAUAAUUUCCUUUACCACAACCAGGCAUGAAUGCAAUAAAUUUUGGAGGUAACUCACCUGCCGAUCGUACUUUAGCCUCGAUUAACCAACGGAUGUCAGCAGGUAUGUUAUUCUUCAUGAGCAAUCGCAUGCGUUCGGACCGGGCUUUAUAGAUUGUAAGGAGGGCAUUCUGAGGAAGUGAAGGGAAUCGCUUGUGAAGCUUCGCUAGAAUCUCGUUUCUGUCCAUACCUUCGCCUCAGAAUAUCAGUUAUUAUGGGAAACUGAAGUUAACCGACUUGAUUGUCAUGGAGUACCGUUAUCCGCCACUUCACCGGGGUAACAAACUAAAGCACACAAACAGAAAAAUAAAUUAAAACACACAAAGAAAAUUAAAAUUGUCCUUUUAUUGAAUUUACCUCAAGCUCCAACUGGAUGUCGUAAACACUUCUCUCAAUGUCUCUGAGUUGGCGUUCUAAACCCUCAACAUAGGCUACUAACUCUGGUGGUUGUAGAGCCCAAAUACGAUGUGUUUUACAAAAUUGAAUUUGCCAUUUGAGAUGAGUUUUGACACGUUGAAGUGGUUUAAGAAUGUUCAGGAGGAACGGUCUAAGUAAGGUACUCAUGAUUAAAAAUGAUAAGAGAAAACUUAAUAGUUUAAACAAACACACUUAUGCAAAAAUAAUUUCAAUUAGCAAAAGAAUAAUAAAAAGAAAGAAAGAAAAAUUAAAUCAACGAAAAGAAAAAACAAAUCAAUUCAAAUCUGGUGGGUCACUCAAAUUUAUUUCGGUGUCUUCUCCAUGUGGUUGGUAUUCUAGAUAUAGCUUUAAUAUUUGACCAUUAACUUUAAACGUGACACCGUUCUUUGGGUCCUUAAUUUCAAUUGCCCCAUGUGGAAAAACAGUAUGAACAAUAAAGGGACCAGACCAUCGAGAGCGUAACUUACCUGGGAAUAGGUGCAAGCGAGAAUUGAAUAAAAGCACUUUCUGACCUGGAGUGAACGAUUUUCUCAUAAUUUGCUUGUCGUGAAAGACUUUCAUUCGUUGCUUGUAAAUCUUGGCAUUUUCAUAUGCGUCAUUGCGAAUUUCUUCAAGUUCUACCAGUUGUAAUCUUCUCUCUGAGCUGGCUUGCUGCAUGUCAAAGUUGAAUUUCUUGAUGGCCCAAUAUGCACGAUGCUCGAGUUCCACAGGUAGGUGGCAAGCUUUUCCAUACACUAGCCUGUAGGGUGACAUCCCAAUCGGGGUCUUGAAAGCCGUUCUAUAUGCCCAUAAUGCAUCAUCAAGUCUUAAUGACCAAUAUUUUCUGUCUGGCCUCACUGUUUUUUCUAAUAUGUGCUUUAUUUCUCGAUUGGAGAUCUCAACUUGGCCACUAGUUUGCGGAUGAUACGGGGUCGCCACUUUGUGUGUGAUUGAAUAUUUUGUCAAAAGAGCUUUGAAUGCUUUGUUACAAAAGUGGGCACCACCAUCACUGAUUAUCGCUCGAGGGAAUCCAAAGCGUGAAACAAUGUUGCUUUUCAAAAAUCCUAUCACCACAUUGUGAUCAUUGGUUCUACAUGGAAUUGCUUCUACCCAUUUCGAGACGUAGUCAACACCAACCAAUAUGUAUUGAUGGCCAAAAGAAGGGGGAAAGGGUCCCAUGAAGUCGAUACCCCAUACGUAAAAAAUCUCAACCACUAAAAUUGGAUUUAGUGGCAUCAUGUUCCUUCGUGUAAUGCUCCCCAUUCGUUGACACCUAUCACAUGAAGAACAGAAAGUGUAAGCGUCUCGAAAUAUAGUUGGCCAAUAGAAACCACAUUGUAAAACUUUAGUCGCUGUUUUCUUAGCACUGAAAUGGCCUCCACAAGCUUGUUCAUGGCAGAAUGAAAGGAUAUUCUGAAUUUCAUUUUCAGGGACACAUCGUCUAACAAUUUGGUCUGCACAAUACUUGAACAAAUAUGGGUCAUCCCAAAAGAAAUUCUUUAUUUCCGCAAAGAAUUUAGCCUUGUCUUGAUUGGUCCAAUGCUCUGAAAGUUUACUUGUAACAAGAUAAUUAACUAUAUCAGCAUACCAAGGUAAUACUUCCACAUUCAUUAAUUGUUCAUCUAGAAAUGACUCAUUCAAUGGUAAUGGUUCCAUAAUUGUAUCAAAAUGGAGGCGAGAGAGAUGGUCAGCUACAACAUUCUCUGUGCUUUUCUUAUCUUUGAAUUCCAAGUCAAAUUCCUGCAAAAGUAACACCCAACGAAUUAGUCUAGCUUUUGCAUCUUUCUUUGUGAGAAGAUAUUUAAGAGCAGCAUGAUCUGUGAAUAUAAUUAUUUUACAACUAAUGAGAUAAGAUCAAAAUUUCUCUAAUGCAAACACUACUGCUAGCAUUUAUUUUUUAGUAGUUGAAUAGUUCAACUGUGCAUCACUCAAUGUCAUACUAGCAUAGUAAAUAAUAUGGGGAAUUCGAUCAACUCUUUGUCCUAAUACUGCUCCUACUGCAUAAUCAGAUGCAUCACACAUGAGCUCAAAUGGUAAGCUCCAGUUUGGGGCCUGAAUGAUGGGUGAUGAUGUCAACAACUGCUUUAAUUUUUCAAAUGCCACAAGACAUGAAUCAUUAAAGAUAAAAGGUACAUCCUUAGCAAGUAGAUUGCAUAAGGGUCUAGAAACUUUGCUAAAAUCUUUAAUGAAACGUCUAUAGAAACCAGCAUGCCCAAGGAAAGAUCUUACUUCUCUGACUGUUUUGGGUGGAGGAAGAUUAGAAAUGAGAUCCACCUUGGCUUUGUCAACCUCAAUACCUUUGCUUGAAAUGAUGUGACCGAGAACAAUACCUUGUUUUACCAUAAAAUGGCACUUCUCCCAAUUCAAGACUAAGUUCUUCUCGGUACAUCUCUGCAGAACUAGCGUUAGAUGAUGUAAACAUUGAUCAAACGAAUCACCAAAGACAGAAAAGUCAUCCAUAAAGACUUCAAGGAAUCGUUCAACCAUAUCAGAAAAAAUGCUUAACAUACAUCGUUGAAAUGUAGCAGGUGCAUUACAUAAUCCAAAUGGCAUUCUCCUAUAUGCAAAUGUGCCAAAAGGGCAAGUGAAAGUAGUUUUCUCUUGAUCUUUUGGUGCUAUGGGAAUCUGAUUAUAUCCUGAAUAGCCAUCUAGAAAGCAAUAAAAUUCAUGGCCUGCUAAUCUAUCAAGCAUUUGAUCAAUAAAUGGUAAAGGAAAAUGGUCUUUACGUGUGACAGAAUUCAACUUUCUAUAAUCAAUGCAUACACGCCAUCCUGUAGUUACUCUAGUUGGUAUUAAUUCAUUAUCAGCAUUGGUAACUACUGUGACUCCUGACUUUUUGGGGACAACUUGUACAGGACUGACCCAUGAACUAUCAGAAAUUGGGUAAAUGAUACCUGCGUCUAAUAGCUUAAGGACUUCUGUUCUAACAACUUCUUUCAUAUUAUGAUUUAAUCGACGUUGCAUUUCCCUAGUAGAUUUAGCAUUUUCAUCAAGGUGAAUGUAAUGCAUGCAAUCUGCAGGGUUUAUACCUUUUAUGUCCGCUAUGGUCCAUCCUAAUGCUCCUUUGUGCUUUUUUAAAACAUCCAACAACUUACCUUUUUGUUCGUCAUUGAGGGAUGAUGAGAUGAUUACCGGCAGAGAACUUUCUUCCCCCAAAAAUGCAUAUUCCAAAGUGUUGGGCAAUGGUUUGAGCUCGAGUUUCGGUGGUGAUUCUGAUGAUGGGAUGAGUUUCUUCUCUAAUGGUGCUAGUUGUUCAACUCUUGACUUCCAUUUAUUAGUGUCCAUGGAUGGUGCUGAGUCAAGUAGGGCGUUGACCUCAUCAACUGAUCUGUCAAUAUCAAAAUCAAAACCAAAGUGAGUUAAGCAUGCCUGUAAAGGAUCAUCACUAAGGUUUGAAAGAAAAGUAUUAUCAACUAUUGUUUCUAUUAAAUCCACAUCAACAAUUCCAUCAUCUGCACUGUGAGGUUGUUUGGCAAUGUUGAAAAUGUUUAGCUCCAUAGUCAUGUUGCCGAAGGACAACUGCAUAUUUUCGGUCCUGCAUUGAACAUGAGCAUCCACAGUUGCCAAGAAAGGUCGGCCUAGAAUAAUAGGGAUGUGCUUCCUUGAAUCAUGUAUUAGUUGAGUGUCAAUUACAAUGAAAUCAACAGGAAAAUAAAACUUGUCUACCUGGAUAAGCACGUCCUCCACAAUACCACGAGGUAUUUUCGUAGACCGAUCUGCAAGCUGUAACACCACUGGAGUUGGGUGUAAUUCUCCCAGUCCAAGUUUCACGAAUACAGAGUAAGGCAACAGAUUUACACUAGCUCCUAAAUCCAACAAAGCAUUCUCAAUUGUGUGGUUCCCUAUACUACAUGAGAUAGUGGGGGAGCCUGGGUCUUUGCAUUUUAAAGGAAUUUUAUGUUGGAGUAUAGAACUAACGUUUUCUGUUAAAAAUGUCUUCUUUUGAACAUGCAUAUUUCUCUUUUUAGUACAAAGGUCUUUAAGAAACUUGGCAUAAGAUGGAACUUGUUUAAUAGCAUCAAGCAAAGGGAUGUUGACACUUACCUGUUUGAAGAUUUCGAGAAUCUCACCUGUGGAUUUUCCUUUCUUUCCUUUCGCUAACCUCUGAGGAAAUAGAGCUUUGGGAACGUAUUCUCGUGGGUUGGUUUCUUCUUUUUCCUCCGGUGGUGAGUCUUCAACACUCACAGGUACAAUUUGAUUUUCUUUUGUCACCGGCAUCUCCUUUUUGUUGUCGACUUCUUUUCCUUUUCGCAAGGUCAUUACUGCUUUGACCUCUCCAUGCUGCUGUGGUGAACUUGUACUUGCUUCAUGUACUCCUUUAGGGUUAGUCACUGGUUGACUUGGAAAUUUACCUUUCUCAACAGUCAUUGCCAAGGUCUGAACUGAAGAAGCGAGUUGUCCCACCAUCUUCUCAAGGCUUGAAACUGAUUGGGCUUGUGAGUUGAAGCCUGCUCUCAACUCAUUUCGUAGUCCAUCAAUGGUGCGGUUCUGUUGCUCAAUCGUGGAGUGAGUAAGAUUCUUGAGAUUCUGGAAUGAAUCCUCCCAUGGUCUGGGUUGAGAGUAAUUCUGGUUCUGAUUGUAUGGUCUAAAUGGGGGCUGAGAGGCUUGAGGAUUUUAAGGAAUUGGUGGAGCUGGAGCUGCUGGUCCAUUUUGUUGGAAUCCUUGAGACCAUGAAAAAUUGGGGUGGUCUCUCCAUCCAGGGUUAUAUGUGUUGGAGUAAGGGUUGUAAUUCGAUGGUUUUCUCAUUACACCUAUGGCAUUGGCUUGAUCUGAGUAUGAGUCAUGGUCAUGUGGCUCUGUUGAUUUAGCAGUCGAUAACGAUGCUAUUUGUCGAGAGAGACCUUCAACCAUCUCCUUGGCUUCUUUGAUUCCCGAAGUUGACUCGCCAAUGUGAACCUCAUUCACUCCUUUAAUCCUUCUAGUAUUCCUGAGUGAUCGACUCCGUUGUUGGGAAUUGUCCGCUUGUCGCUGGAAAAACUCCCAAAUUUCUGAUGCACUUUUUGACAUUAGCUCUCCUCCACUUGUUGCCAUUAGCCAUUCUUGCACAUUCGGCAAUAAUCCCUCCAAAAAGUAUUGGCAUUGGUGCCAUUUCUCGUACCCAUGAUGUGGACACUUCAAGAGUAGUCCAUUGAAUCGCUCCCAAGUUUCGAAAAACUGCUCGUCCUCUCUUUGUGUAAACUCUGAAAUUUCCCUGCGAAUAGAAUUGGUUUUAUGCACUGGGAAAUAUUUAUUUAGAAAUUUUGUAACCAUUUGUUCCCAUGAUGCAAUGCUAUUAGCAGGCAAAGUAUUUAACCAUGAACGAGCUCUAUCCUUUAAAGAAAAUGGGAAUAAUCUAAGCUUUACAUCAUCAUCUGAAAAAUUCUCAUAUUUAAAAGUUUGACAAAUAGCAUGAAAAUCAUUCAGAUGAUUAUAUGGGUCCUCAUUUUCUAGGCCAUAAAAUGUGGGGAGACAAUUUAGCACACUAGGUUUUAAUUCAAAACUCCUAGCAGCUACAUUUGGGUAUCUUAUACAUGAUGUGCUCAAAUUAGCUAAGGGACUAAAAUAAUCCUUAAAUGGCCUCUCCUGUGGUGCUUGUAAAUCCAUUCCAAAUUUAUUAAUGUGCUUUUGUGUGCGAAGUAUUUUCUCAAGUUCAAGGUCUAUAGGUUCAAGAUUAGGUAAUAAUGACCUACGACCAUGCAUGCAAAACAAAUAAAAUAAAAAUAAAGAUGGGAACAAAACAAAUAAAAAUAAAGAAGAGGGAGAAAUUACGAUACUAACCUUAUUGCGCUAUUACAACCUUACUAUAAAAAUACACAAAAAUAAAUAUGUGAAAUAAAUUAACUAAAAAUUAAAUUAAUAAGAUAAACAAAAAUUACAAAGAAAAAUAAAUUAAAAAUUCAAUUACAGAAUUUUAAAGAAGAGAAAAAGAAAAGAAAUACUAACCUUUAAAUGUAGAUUCACUUUUUUUUUAAUAACAAAAAAAUUACACAAACAAUUAAAAGAAAUUAAUCACAAAAAUUAAUUCUACGAAUUAAAAUAACUUACCUCCCCGGCAACGGCACCAAAAAACUUGUUGUGCAAAUUUUAAUGUACUCGCAAGUGCACGAAUCUAUUGUAGUAUAGAUCAAUGGUGACGAGUGUCGAUCCCACGAGGAGGUGGAUUUUAAUUGUGUAUAGAAUUAAUUUUGUAAAUGGGGGAUUGAAUUUGUGGUGGAAAUGAUUUGGAAUAUGCUAAAACUUAAAUUAAAAUGGCGAGAAUAAAUUCUAAAAUUGGAAUUGAAAUGGCGAGAAUAAAUUGAAGAGAAUUCUAUUGAAAUGGUGUACUUGGGUAUCUGGAUCCGUAUCAACAUGCAUCAUGGGCUAAAUAUUCCUUAUUAAUACCAAUUAAAUCAUGAGGGGGGAAUCCACACCUCAUGAACCACGCUCUAAUCAAUAUGGUGCUAAGGGCUUAUCGUGCCAAAUAAUAAUAACCUUAUACUAGAGAGCCGGUGUAACCAAGGCGGUAUCUAGACAAGAUCAGUAUUAUUUGUCGACGAUAAGUCAAAUCAUCCACAAAAAUUAGAGGGGCAGAGAAAGUAAAUUUACCAAAUCAAGCCCAUGACACAUGUUGAGACUUCACCUUCAACCCAAGCUUGAAAGAAAAUUAGCCACUCAUAAUUGAACUAGGGGCAAAAUGGAAAUUUAUUAAAAUACGAAGAAAAUACAAGAUGGAGAGGGAAUUACAGAAAAUGGAUCCCAAAAAUGGAUUCAGAGAUAUCAAAUUAGGGGGGGAGGCCCCCUUUUUAUAGAUACAUGGAGUAAAUCAUGGCCAUCGGAUUAAAAACAGUUUAGACGCUCAGGAUUGCGCCACGUCAUCAGUCAACAGUCCACGGUUUGACCACGCGGAUGAACAGUAACACGGUUUGACCUGGAUGAACAGUACGCGGUUUGGUUGAAAAUAAUCCUGUCUGAUGCAUGCACCGUACGCGAGAUUUUUCGUCCACUGAUAUGCUGCCACGUCACCAUCAACAGUACAUAAGAAUUUUAGUCCAACAGGAUCGUGACACCUCAUCAGUCAAUGCCACAUCAUCGGUCAAUGCCACGUCAUCGAUCCGUCUAUGUGAACAGUGUCGUGAAUAGUAACGUAGAUAGUACCGUAUACGUGAAUAGUACUGUACACGUGAAUAGUGCCAUUUUUCCUUUUAUGCUCCUCCUAAGGUUUUCGACCAUCCUGAGUUCAAAAGUGAUGUUCGUUUUGCCGUCUGAUCUCUCCUUUAUUGUGAAAUGACUAUACUGCCCCUAAAAUACAUAAAAUACUUAAUUAAAAUAACACACACGUAAUUACAUCACAAGAAAGUUAAAUACAUAAAAGUAAGGGUUGUUAGUAAGACUUGAAAUGUAAAAUGAAGGUUUUCUCCUUUAUAAAUAUGCAUUUUCUAACACUCAACACACUCCCCAACCAGCUUAUUGCUAGUCCCUAGUGGUGAGUAUUCCCGCCUGUCACGCGGGUGACCCGGGUUCGAUCCCCGGCAACGGCGCCAAAAACUUGUUGUGCAAAUUUUAAUGUACUCGCAAGUGCACGAAUCUAUUGUAGUAUAGAUCAAUGGUGACGAGUGUCGAUCCCACGAGGAGGUGGAUUUUAAUUGUGUAUAGAAUUAAUUUUGUAAAUGGGGGAUUGAAUUUGUGGUGGAAAUGAUUUGGAAUAUGCUAAAACUUAAAUUAAAAUAGCGAGAAUAAAUUCUAAAAUUGGAAUUGAAAUGACGAGAAUAAAUUGAAGAGAAUUAUAUUGAAAUGAUGUACUUGGGUAUCUGGAUCCGUAUCAACAUGCAUCAUGGGCUAAAUAUUCCUUAUUAAUACCAAUUAAAUCAUGAGGGGGGAAUCCACACCUCAUGAACCACGCUCUAAUCAAUAUGGUGCUAAGGGCUUAUCGUGCCAAAUAAUAAUAACCUUAUACUAGAGAGCCGGUGUAACCAAGGCGGUAUUUAGACAAGAUCAGUAUUAUUUGUCGACGAUAAGUCAAAUCAUCCACAAAAAUUAGAGGGGCAGAGAAAGUAAAUUUACCAAAUCAAGCCCAUGACACAUGUUGAGACUUCACCUUCAACCCAAGCUUGAAAGAAAAUUAGCCACUCAUAAUUGAACUAGGGGCAAAAUGGAAAUUUAUUAAAAUACGAAGAAAAUACAAGAUGGAGAGGGAAUUACAUAAAAUGGAUCCCAAAAAUGGAUUCAGAGAUAUCAAAUUAGGGGGGGAGGCCCCCUUUUUAUAGAUACAUGGAGUAAAUCAUGGCCAUCGGAUUAAAAACAGUUUAGACGCUCAGGAUUGCGCCACGUCAUCAGUCAACAGUCCACGGUUUGACCACGCGGAUGAACAGUAACACGGUUUGACCUGGAUGAACAGUACGCGGUUUGGUUGAAAAUAAUCCUGUCUGAUGCAUGCACCGUACGCGAGAUUUUUCGUCCACUGAUAUGCUGCCACGUCACCAUCAACAGUACAUAAGAAUUUUAGUCCAACAGGAUCGUGACACCUCAUCAGUCAAUGCCACAUCAUCGGUCAAUGCCACGUCAUCGAUCCGUCUAUGUGAACAGUGUCGUGAAUAGUAACGUAGAUAGUACCGUAUACGUGAAUAGUACUGUACACGUGAAUAGUGCCAUUUUUCCUUUUAUGCUCCUCCUAAGGUUUUCGACCAUCCUGAGUUCAAAAGUGAUGUUCGUUUUGCCGUCUGAUCUCUCCUUUAUUGUGAAAUGACUAUACUGCCCCUAAAAUACAUAAAAUACUUAAUUAAAAUAACACACACGUAAUUACAUCACAAGAAGGUUAAAUACAUAAAAGUAAGGGUUGUUAGUAAGACUUGAAAUGUAAAAUGAAGGUUUUCUCCUUUAUAAAUAUGCAUUUUCUAACACUCAACACACUCCCCAACCAGCUUAUUGCUAGUCCCUAGUGGUGAGUAUUCCCGCCUGUCACGCGGGUGACCCGGGUUCGAUCCCCGGCAACGGCGCCAAAAACUUGUUGUGCAAAUUUUAAUGUACUCGCAAGUGCACGAAUCUAUUGUAGUAUAGAUCAAUGGUGACGAGUGUCGAUCCCACGAGGAGGUGGAUUUUAAUUGUGUAUAGAAUUAAUUUUGUAAAUGGGGGAUUGAAUUUGUGGUGGAAAUGAUUUGGAAUAUGCUAAAACUUAAAUUAAAAUAGCGAGAAUAAAUUCUAAAAUUGGAAUUGAAAUGACGAGAAUAAAUUGAAGAGAAUUAUAUUGAAAUGAUGUACUUGGGUAUCUGGAUCCGUAUCAACAUGCAUCAUGGGCUAAAUAUUCCUUAUUAAUACCAAUUAAAUCAUGAGGGGGGAAUCCACACCUCAUGAACCACGCUCUAAUCAAUAUGGUGCUAAGGGCUUAUCGUGCCAAAUAAUAAUAACCUUAUACUAGAGAGCCGGUGUAACCAAGGCGGUAUCUAGACAAGAUCAGUAUUAUUUGUCGACGAUAAGUCAAAUCAUCCACAAAAAUUAGAGGGGCAGAGAAAGUAAAUUUACCAAAUCAAGCCCAUGACACAUGUUGAGACUUCACCUUCAACCCAAGCUUGAAAGAAAAUUAGCCACUCAUAAUUGAACUAGGGGCAAAAUGGAAAUUUAUUAAAAUACGAAGAAAAUACAAGAUGGAGAGGGAAUUACAGAAAAUGGAUCCCAAAAAUGGAUUCAGAGAUAUCAAAUUAGGGGGGGAGGCCCCCUUUUUAUAGAUACAUGGAGUAAAUCAUGGCCAUCGGAUUAAAAACAGUUUAGACGCUCAGGAUUGCGCCACGUCAUCAGUCAACAGUCCACGGUUUGACCACGCGGAUGAACAGUAACACGGUUUGACCUGGAUGAACAGUACGCGGUUUGGUUGAAAAUAAUCCUGUCUGAUGCAUGCACCGUACGCGAGAUUUUUCGUCCACUGAUAUGCUGCCACGUCACCAUCAACAGUACAUAAGAAUUUUAGUCCAACAGGAUCGUGACACCUCAUCAGUCAAUGCCACAUCAUCGGUCCGUCUAUGUGAACAGUGUCGUGAAUAGUAACGUAGACAGUAUCGUAUACGUGAAUAGUACCGUACAUGUGAAUAGUGCCAUUUUUCCUUUUAUGCUCCUCCUAAGGUUUUCGACCAUCCUGAGUUCAAAAGUAAUGUCCGUUUUGCCGUCUGAUCUCUCCUUUAUUGUGAAAUGACUAUACUGCCCCUAAAAUACAUAAAAUACUUAAUUAAAAUAACACACACGUAAUUAUAUCACAAGAAGGUUAAAUACAUAAAAGUAAGGGUUGUUAGUAAGACUUGAAAUGUAAAAUGACGGUUUUCUCCUUUAUAAAUAUGCAUUUUCUAACACUCAACAAGUGUAAACACAUAGGCAGUAGUAGAUUUUCUUUUAUCAAGGUCUCCUGCAAAAUCUAAAUCCACAUAGCCCCUUACAGUAAACUCUGAUCCUCUUUAAUAUAAUGCAACAUCUGAGGUUCCUCUGAUGUAUCUCAGAAUCCUCUUCAUAACUAUCCAAUGCUCUCCACCAGGAUUCACCAUGUAUCGACUGACUGCUCCACUGCUUGUGCAAUGUCUGGUCUUGUACAAAUCAUAGCGAACAUUAAACUUCCCACUGCUGAUGCAUAUGGUACUCGAGACAUCUCAUUUCUCUCUGCUUCAUUGCUAGGACACAUACUUGAGGAUAAUUUGAAAUUAACAGGAAGUGGGGUAUAAAUUGGCUUACAAUCUUGCAUGUUGAAGCCCCGCAAGAUUUUCUUCAAGUAGUUCUUUUGAGAAAGCCAAAUCUUCCUGUUAUUUCUGUCUCGGUGAAUUUGCAUCCCUAGAAUCUUGUUUGCUGGUCCCAAGUUCUUCAUUUCAAACUCCCUAGCCAACUGUGCCUUCAAUUCUUGGAUUCGAUCUUUGUUGGAGCCUGCUACUAACAUAUCAUCCAUAUACAACAGUAAAAUAAUGAAAUCAUUAUCUUUAAACCUUUUGUAAUAUGCACAAUAGUCUUAACUGAGUCUAUUGUAUCCAAGGCUCACAAUGAAUGAAUCAAAUCUCUUAUACCAACAUCUCGGCGCCUGUUUGAGACCGUAUAGAGAUUUGUUCAACCUGCAAACCAAGUUUUCUUUUCCUGUUUCUGCAAAACCUCCUGGUUGGAGCAUAUAUAUUUCUUCUUCAAGUUCUCCAUGAAGAAAUGCAGUUUUCACAUCUAACUGCUCUAAAUCUAGGUCAAAUGUAGCACACAUUGCCAAGACUAUUCUGACUGUUGUGAGUCGAAUUAUCGGAGAAAAUAUCUCGUUGAAGUCAAUACCUUCUUUCUGAGCAUAUUCUUUCACCACCAAUCUUGUAUGAUAUCGCUCCACUUGGUCAUUGCCAUCACGCUUGAUCUUGUAGACCCAUUUAUUUUCAAUAACUUUUCUUCCACGUGGUAGUGGUAUAAGUUCCCAUGUCUUGUUCUUGUGUAGAGGCUCAAUUUCUUCCUGCAUUACUGUCAUCCAUAAAGCAACAUCUGUGUUGCUUAAAGUUUCAUGGAAAGUUGAUGGCUCUCCAUCCUCUGUUAGAAGACAGUAUGCAACAUUGAUCUAUGUGACAUACUCCGAGUGCCAUACUGGCGGUCGUCUCUCACGAGUUGACCGAUGAAAUUCUAGAGCCUCGGACUCGACUGGUUCUUAUUCCUUGUGCUCUAGUGCUGCUUCAGAAGAAUCUGAAUCUUCUGGAUGAUUUUCCACAUAUACCGGCACAGUCUCUGACUUUUCUUUUACAGUGCUAUCAUCCUCAUCUUUUCUUUGCAGUUGAUCUUCUACAAAGAUAACAUCUCUGCUGAUGACGAUCUUGUAGGCAGUGAGGUCCCACAGACGAUACCCUUUACUCUAUCAGCAUAUCCUAAGAAGAUAUACCUCCUAGAUUUUGGAUCCAGCUUUGCUCUUUCUUGGGCAUUGUACAUCACGUACACAUGACAUCCAAAUGCAUGUAGGUAGGAGUAAUCAGCUGGCUUUUCAGUCUACAUCUCCAUCGCUGUCUUCAGCCCAAUAGUUGUAGAUGGGUAGACCAGCAGUCCUCAACAUAGCUCUUAUUCGUUCUGUAAGAAUCCUAUUCAUCCGCUCUGCCACUCCAUUUUGUUGAGGAGUGUAUGCUACCGUGAACUGCCUCUGAAUACCUUCUUGCCUACAAAAAGCAAGAAACUCGCCGCUGUAUAGUCUCCACCAUUAUCCGUCCUCAAGCACUUGAUCUUUUUUCCGGAUUCAAGUUCCAUCCGCACUUUGUAUUCUUUAAACACUAGAAAUACAUAUGACUUUUUCCUAAUUAGAUACACCCAACAUCUCCUAGAAUAAUUAUCAAUGAAAGUCACCAUGUACUUUGCACCUCUCAUAGUCAUAUCCGGCGAUUCCCAAACAUCAUAAUGAAUCAAGUCUAGAAUGCGUUUACUUCUAGCAAUAGAUCUACUGAACUUUAAUAUAUGAUGCUUACUUGUAACACAAUGCUCGCAAAAUGGUAAACGUACCGAUUUAAGUCCUGGAAGCAAUUUUCGCUCAGAGAAAAUCUUCAAAUCUUGUUAUGACAUGUGGUCAAGUUUGAGAUGCCACAUCAUCGUUGACUCUUCUCCAUUUGAUGCAACACAUGCAUCAGCCUCCUGUAAUGUUUCUCCUUUAAGCAUGAAUAGAUUAACACCGAUUUUUUCUGCCUUCAUCAAUACAAGCGCGCCUUUAACGAUCUUCAUAAUUUUAUUCUCCACAUGAGUUUUGUACCCAUGACUAUCCAUUUGUCUCAAAGACAAUAGAUUUUUCUUC
rnacentral:lncRNA from 1 species